rnacentral:rRNA from 1 species
AAAGGUAGCAUAAUCACUGUUCCCUAAAAGGGAUUGUAGGAAUGGCCACACGAGGUUUUCACUGUCUCUUACUUCCAAUCAGUGAAAUUGACCUUCCCGUGAGGAGGCGGGAAUGAUUUAACAAGACGAGAAGACCCUAUGGAGCUUUAAUUAACUGACCCAAUAAAGACAUAUUGCUACCCACCCAGGGUCCAACUCCCCUUUAUAUGGGCCAACAAUUUAGGUUGGGGUGACCUCGGAGCACAAAAUAACCUCCGAGUGAUUAAAGUCUAGACUAACCAGUCAAAACAUAACAUCACUUAUUGAUCCAAAAAUUUGAUCAACGGAACAAGUUACCCUAGGGAUAACAGCGCAAUCCUAUUUAAGAGUUCAUAUCGACAAUUAGGGUUUACGACCUCGAUGUUGGAUCAGGACAUCCCAAUGGUGCAACAGCUAUUAACGGUUCGUUUGUUCAACGAUUAAAGUCCUACGUGAUCUGAGUUCAGACCGGAGUAAUCCAGGUCGGUUUCUAUCUGUUCUAGGCUCCUCCCAGUACGAAAGGACAAGAGAAGCAAGGCCUACUCCACCGAAGCGCCUUCAAGUUAAUAGAUGAUUUAAUCUUAAUCUGGUAGCUACCUUGACACUCCUGAG